CGAGGUGUGGCUCAGCUUGGUAGAGCGCUGCGUUCGGGACGCAGAGGUCGCAGGUUCGAAUCCUGUCACCUCGACCA
rnacentral:tRNA from 1 species